rnacentral:lncRNA from 1 species
CCCCAAAAGCUAGCUUAUGAGGUGAGGAUCGCCCAAGCCAUAUAAGGAGACCAAAGACCUCAAAUACCUCCGAUGUGGGACAACUCAACACUAGUCUUGGCCGGCCUCACCAAAUUUCUUUCUUGUGUGAAUUUUCUCAUCAAAUUCAACAACAACGGCCUCUGACUGAUGUAAGCAUAUAUCUUGACGGCCUUAGCGAAAACUGUAAAAGUAACAAUAGCAAUUUUUUAAGUAAUAGUUUAAUACUAAGUUACUAACUUAAUAGGAUAGGAUAUAAGUAUAAUUAAAGUUAAAGGCUUGAAAGAUAAUUAUAUUAAAGUUACGUGAAGCAUAUGGUUAGACCUGCCAUGUUGUAUGGGGUGAAGUGCUGGCCAGUGAAGAACUCUCAUGUUCAGAGGAUGAAGGUUGCGGAGAUGAGGAUGCU